UAUCUUGCUCGUAUAAUGUUCAAUCCUAUCUUUGCGUUGUGUACAAAAUGUGCGCUUAGGCUUUACUUAAAAGGGACAAAUUAUCUUAGGAUGUGUAACCUUCUGUAGACUAGCACGUUAUCACUAUUGCCUUAUGAAGCGGUAUUAAACUUCUUAGGUCAAGGUUGACACACAGUGAUACAUACUUACCCAUAUCAGGCAUAUUACCAGCUUAGACAGAAAUGAACCAUAGGUUCAUGGAAGGAAUGCAGAUUCAAGAAGUAUCUAGACCAAGUACAAAUCACAACUCAGAACAUUACUAGGUACUUCGGCACCUUGGUCGUAUAAGUGAAACUCGGAUUGGACAUCACCGUGUAAUCAUUCUUCUGAAGCCUCAGUAAUUUACCAUUCCCUUUUCAGUCAACUUAAAGACAUUGCAUUGUAUGUUUUAUGUUAUUAUACGAUCUUCAGACAGAAAAGAAUGCUAGAUUGCUGCUGUUGAUUGUGAGGGAGAAUGUGGGCUUUUGGAGGUAUGGGUGACAUGCUUCAUUACAUGAGAUAUUAUCAUUUGUUUGUUUAUAUCUCCUUUGUGAAAUCUCCUUAAAAUUCUCGUCAAAUUCAUUGUUUUUUUUAACACAGCUGUUUCAAAGAAACGUUUUAAAAAAAUAAGGCAAGAUGACUGAUUGUUUUUC